rnacentral:rRNA from 1 species
CAAUGGGGGAAACCCUGAAGCAGCUACGCCGCGUGAGGGAUGAAGUAUUUCGGUAUGUAAAGUUCUUCAGCAGGAAGAAAAUGACG